AAGCAUCUAAGCACGAAACUUGCCCCGAGAUGAGUUCUCCCUGACCCUUUAAGGGUCCUGAAGGAACGUUGAAGACGACGACGUUGAUAGGCCGGGUGUGUAAGCGCAGCGAUGCGUUGAGCUAACCGGUACUAAUGAACCGUGAGGCUUAACCUU
rfam:Mangrovibacter sp. MFB070 Contig-010, whole genome shotgun sequence.